rnacentral:rRNA from 1 species
GAGGAAUGUAUAUCGACUCUGUCGAAUAAAGUUCUAGUUAAGUUAUGAUAAUGACAUUUCUUAACUAUGUGUCUUGACCAAAUCACGUGCCAGCAGUCGCGGUAAGACGUGGAAGACUAGUGUUAUUCAUCUUUAACAGGUUUAAAGGGUACCUAGACGGUAAAUCAAGCCCCAAAAGGGUACUAAUUUACUAGAGUUUAAUAAGAGAGGGGGAGUACUGAUGAGUGGAGAGAUGAAAUUUUAUGAUACCAUUAGGAACAGACAAAGGCGAAAGCGACCUUUUACAUAAAAACUGACGUUGAGGGACGAAGGCUUUAGUCGUGAACAGGAUUAGAUACCCAAGUAAUUAAAGCAGACAAUGAUGAAUGUCAUAGAUUAGUGAGUCAUAUUAAUCUAUAAAUGAAAGUGUAAGCAUUCCACCUCAAGAGUAAUGUGGCAACGCAGAAACUGAAAUCAUUAGACCGUUUCUGAAACCAGUAGUGAAGUAUGUUGUUUAAUUAGAUAACCCGCCAAAGACCUCACCACAAUUUGAAUAUUAUUAUUUUUAAUAAUACAAGCGUUGCACGGCUGUCUUCAGUUAAUGUCGUGAGAUUAGGUUAGUUCCAUUAAAUUAACGUAAACCCUUGCUUUAUUUAUAUUAUAAAGUAGAUCACCGCUAUAUUGGAUGUGAUAAUAGGGACUAAGACAAGUCAUCAUGGCCUUAAUAUUGUGGGCGAUAGACGUGCCACAUAAUCGGAGACAAAGGGAUGCGAAAUUGUGAAAUAUAGCU